GCAUGGUUCAAACAUAAAAGGUGGCUUCGGCUACCACUUACAGAUGGACCCGCGGCGCAUUAGCUAGUUGGUGAGGUAACGGCUCACCAAGGCGACGAUGCGUAGCCGACCUGAGAGGGUGAUCGGCCACACUGGGACUGAGACACGGCCCAGACUCCUACGGGAGGCAGCAGUAGGGAAUCUUCCGCAAUGGACGAAAGUCUGACGGAGCACGCCGCGUGAGUGAUGAAGGUUUUCGGAUCGUAAAGCUCUGUUGUUAGGGAAGAACAAGUGCCGUUCGAAUAGGGCGGUACCUUGACGGUACCUAACCAGAAAGCCACGGCUAACUACGUGCCAGCAGCCGCGGUAAUACGUAGGUGGCAAGCGUUGUCCGGAAUUAUUGGGCGUAAAGGGCUCGCAGGCGGUUUCUUAAGUCUGAUGUGAAAGCCCCCGGCUCAACCGGGGAGGGUCAUUGGAAA
rnacentral:rRNA from 1 species